rnacentral:rRNA from 1 species
UAAAACGACUCUCGGCAACGGAUAUCUCGGCUCUCGCAUCGAUGAAGAACGUAGCGAAAUGCGAUACUUGGUGUGAAUUGCAGAAUCCCGUGAACCAUCGAGUCUUUGAACGCAAGUUGCGCCCCAAGCCUUCGGGCCGAGGGCACGUCUGCCUGGGUGUCA